UACAGAGGGUGCGAGCGUUGUCCGGAAUCACUGGGCGUAAAGGGCGCGUAGGCGGCUUUUCACGCGUGCGGUGAAAGCUCGGGGCUUAACUCCGAGUCUGCCGUGCGAACGGGGAGGCUUGAGUCUGGUAGGGGGAUCUGGAAUUCCUGGUGUAGCGGUGGAAUGCGCAGAUAUCAGGAGGAACACCGGUGGCGAAGGCGGGAUCCUGGGCCAGUACUGACGCUGAGGAGCGAAAGCGUGGGGAGCAAACAGG
rnacentral:rRNA from 1 species